UCACAAUACAAGCACCUGAUCUGAGUGUGGAGUUUGUACACAGCAUUACCUUUCUUUUCUCUCCUUCCUCCUUGUUGCAGCACGCCCGAAAUUGUCCAGUUUCCACAGGGAGAAAAGUUUAAUCUGACAGGGGUAGUGGUGGUGGAAGGAGUAGCUGGAGGCCUUAUUCUGACACAAAGUCUGAAUGAAGCACUUCCUCUAACUCAGCUUCGGCAGUAAGAAAGUUUUGUUUUGUGUUCAUUCUUUGGAUCUUCCUGUGGAUUAUUCUUUUCAGCAGUUACUGCAUUCAUCGUUCUCUGUCACAUGGUGCACCAUGGAGAUUCUGCUAGACAGCACACUCAAGAGGGAAAUGUUAAAAAGGAGAACCAGCCAAACAGUGUCCUCUCCAUUUGUAGCCUCGCAAAGAAAACUCACAGGCAAAGCCCUGGAGCCCUGUCAAAAUCAUGCAUGGAGGUUGGCUCCUGGAAAAGAGAGCAGGAUGGAGAAGACAGUAAUCUGGAGGGGCAAGAGGGAGAUAUCCUACACACAGACCUAGUGACAAGUCACAUCCAUUCUUCAGGCUUCAGUUUCUUCACCUAUAAAAUGGGAAAGGGAGGAGAGCUUCCUGUGAACACCUCCACAGGUGUUCACCUCUGCAUACCUUACUGCUGGCUUAUAAAAUGGGGCCUAACGAAAAGAAGGACAGAUGGAAGGAAACUGCUUGUGGAACCAAAAAGUCUUGCAACAAACCUGCCCUCAGGCAGGAGGCUACUAAGCCAGGUCCAGGCCUCAGCCCCUUUCAUGCCACAGACCCAAAGGGCUGUGACCGCUCCCCUCCCCUAAUUAAAGCAUUGGCCACCUAUUCACUCCUCCAGGAUCCCUCUUUCUUAAACUAACUAAAGAAAAAUAUUCCUAUCUCCUCCCAUCUCCCCUUGAUGUCAUCCCCAAAGAUAAGCCCAUUGACCAUUUUAAGAGUUUCAGAGCCAGUUAUAAUAGAGACGCUGAAAGGAGAAAGCAAGCCUACGUGGAUUAUGCACACGUGCUCAAUUCUUUUGAUUUUACAGAGCUCUCAUCCUCAUGCAAGGCACUGAAAUUCAUUGAGCUUAAUGUCCUUAUCUACAAACUGGCGUAAUACCUCCAGCACAGGUAGGAGCAACAGCCAUGGAGAAGCACUGCCCAGAGACCUGUUCUAGGAAGGAUCUGAUUCCCAGGUGAAGAGGAGGAUCAGCAGACAGCCUCCAGUUGUCAGAGCCAACAGGGUCUGCUCAGGUGCAGAGAACCGCCUGUCUGAGAUCAUAGGUUUCCCAGGUAGGAUGACCAGCUCCUUGGGUGUGCCUGGAACUUUCUUGGCACUAAAAGUCUCGCAUCCCAGGAUGGGUCUGUGGGCUGGAGUCUGACUCAAUGGGUGCAUCCUUAAAAGCAGAGCCAUUUGCCCUCAGCAUCUGACAAGGCCAAACCUUUGUGAAGAUUGGGGUCCAUUGUCUGGAACAAUGAGCCACAGUGAUUCGGCUCUUCCUCCCCUCCCCCGCACCAGCUGAGCUGAGCACAGCUGCCCACAGAGCCCACUGGGAUCUACUGACAAGAAAAUUAAUGUGAUCUAUUCCUCCCACAAACUCCCAUAACACUCCAUAACUUUCUAAUGAUGCCCUCCACAUUCCAGCCUUUGUGGUAGCUAUUGCUGAACUUGUCUUGCUCUCUCUCCUGGACUGUGAGCCUCGGACCCUACACUAGUGACUGGAAUGUUUGUGUGUGAAGAAAUGAGCGAAAGGAUGGCGCAUUGCAACCUGUGCUUCCCUCUCUUGCAUUCCCAUUCACAUUAAAAGACCUUCCAACUGUGAGGGGUUAAGAAUACAUGAAGACUCAUGACACCAAAAACCUAGGUUCCUCUCCCACCUCCGCCUGAAAUCCUAAGACCCUUUCGCUUCACUCUCAGGUUUGUUUGUAGCGUGAAUAAAUCUGUUACUUUAUAGAUGCAAAUCACCUUAGGAAUUAUUUAUGUGACAGGUUAAACCUAGAAAUACUCUGUGUCGCUGUUUAAACAUAGUCUAAUCCAGUCUUUGAAAGUGGCCACAAUGUGUCAAAAUUGCUAUUCUAAUAUGUAUGGAGGUUUUCUGAUAAAAAGAAAUAAACUAAUAUUAUUCUAGUAACAAAUGCUUAAUACGAA
ensembl:lncRNA